rnacentral:lncRNA from 9 species
AAACAAAGAGCCCAGACUUAAAUAGAUGGUAAGGAGGGAUGGGUGAUUAAACCAGUGUCUCAGUAUCACUCUCUGUGUGAUUUUUAAAAAUAGGGAAAUCGUAUUUUACCACGAUACAUAUCCUAAAUUUUAUUAAGAAGAAAAAAUGACAGAGGAGGAGGGAGACACUGCUUUGGAAAAGAUCCCAGUGUUCCCCUUACUUGCUCCAGGCAUACUGAUUUCCAAAUAUUACCAGAAUGGAUACGACUGUAAGGUGAUCUGGAGAACGCUUGCCUUACACCAUCACAAUCCCUAAACUUCCCUUUAAGCUUAUUCCUCACAAGUCCCCAUCACAAACCCUAUAUGUCAAGAAACUGAACAAGUAGAUUUUUCCCUCAU